GGGGAUGAUCGGUUUCGACACUGCAAGGUUUUGAGUGGAUGAAGCGGGUCGAGGAUGCACAGUUAUCUCGUAAACGAUCUGUGUAAAAAAAUAGGUGCCAAUACAAAGCGCGCCGACUUCGCCCUAGCUGCCUAAGCUAGCCCCGAAGUCCGUCUGACUAGGUUUGAUUUCGUCCUAGACCCAGACGUCAUUUAGAAAUCUUGCUGAUUGAACGCGUCUCAGGUUCAAUUGGGACUUUUACUGAGGCUGGGCUUGUCCGAGUAGUUGCUUCAGACAAAUUCGGAAGCCGAGUAGAACGCCUAAUGAAGCUACACCCGUAGAAGAGCCAGUCUCUUUGCAAUGGACGGGGGUUCAAUUCCCCCCAUCUCCACGU
rnacentral:tmRNA from 1 species